rnacentral:lncRNA from 1 species
UAUUUUAUGAGACAUUUAAGUUCAGUGGCAAUUCUGUAAAUAGCAGGAAACAUAUUUUCCUUUCAAACCGACAAAAAUACGUAUUCAAUGUUGAGAAAAUGUAUUCAGCGGAAUACGCUAGGGACUGCGGGAUUCAUUACCAGAAUCGGCAAGGACUCUUUAGCAAAACUGGCUCCGAAACGUUAUUUUCUAAUCUCGGGCGUUGACUCAGGAUCGGACGGCUCAGAUCGCGUCUGGGGAAGGGUUGGCCGUCCUCCUCGCCGGAGCAGGCUCCUCCACGGCGGCGCGCCAUGGCCGGAGGCCUCAAGCUCAUCGGAGCUUCUCGGUUUCGUGUUUCCGAGAACAUGAGCAACACCAAGACCUUCGGGAGAUAGAGGAAGACAUCGCGAGUUCACCCACCGGCGGCUUUACUCGGGCUGCGAGCUAGCGGGGUGGUGAGACCACGCGCGAUGGCGGAAGAUUUCCCGACGAGAUCCGAAAGCGCGUGGUUUAGGGCGGCUAGGGCUUGGUUUUGCGGCGGAAACAGAGAGCAACACGCGGGGGCACUACAAGGGACUUUAUAGGGCUCAGCGUUGCGCGUUUUGGCAAGGAAUCCCGAGAAAUCGGGUUCGAUUAGCUCACGGCCGUGUCCGGCUCGCUCACGACGAGAGGAAGGAGAGAGUGCUGUCGGGUGGGGCCAGCGCGACAGUGAGAUAGGAAGAGAGAGGGGAAACGCCGACAGGCGGGGCCCAAUUGUCAGCAAAAGAAAAAGAGAGGGAAAGGGCGCACGCUGGGCUGGGGGAAAUGGGCCAGGGCGCUGCUGCUGGUUUGCUGGGCCAAAGCCGCGAGUGCAGAGAGGGGGUGCUGGGCUGCGGCUUCUGGGCCGAGAGAAGGAGAGUGGGACGAGGGGGGGAGAAAGGAGCGGGCCUUCGGCUGAGAGGGAGGGUUUUUUUUUCUUUUUUUUAUUUCUAUUUUCUUUUCUAGUUUCUAAAGCCUUUUUUUUAAUAGUUUUGAGUUCUUUUAAUUCUCAAACAAAACACACAACACAAAAACAAUCCAGUGUUGGGUAUUCUUAACAUCAUUACCAAAAGUAGACUAAGUUCUCUAAAUCUAGUAACGGUGCCAAAAAUGCCAAACCUAUCCCUUACACCACUUAAGCCAAGUUGUCAUCCCCAGCAUGAUAUAAGAGACGUGGUAUUGAAAUAUGCAAUUGCUCUUCUAAAUAAAUAAUGAAUGGGAUCUGCAAGCGCACAGAUUAAUACCGAUGUAGCAUUUUAACCGGGAAGUAUUCCAGGUAUCGUUAUUUAUAUUUUUACCACUGGGAAGGGAUUAGCGAUCAUCACUAUUGAUUACAGAAUAGAAUAUGAGAUUGAGCAUAUAUCAUUACAUGUAUAAUUGAGAACAUUAUAUCUAACUCUUCAUACAGGGAUAAAUGUCACAUAAAAGAUAUAUGAAAUAAUAAUAGUGACAAGGAUAACUAAUCUGAUCUAGCCACAUAAUAAAUAUGAUAAGCACCUCAAUUAGAUACUCUAGAAAGUCAUUAGCAUGGUAUUAGAACGAACUACAAGAAUAUUCCCUAAGUUAUUCUUAACUAUAUAGUCUAGCAUAUCAUAGUUAGUGCAAGCAUACUUAGCAAUCAUUGUGAGACAAGACUACGCCCAUGCAUAGUGAUAUUAGCAAGGAAUAUGAGAAACAUAGCAAUCACACCCCUGUAAUAAUGUUGCUCUGCCAGCCCAAUACACGAGAGGGGGACUAUAUAAGAAUCAAUGAAGCUGUCACUAUCACGAACCACCCCACGAUCUAGCAUAUUGGGUACAAUCGCAGAUAAAUACGGUAUAAGCACCAGGCCUACACAAUAUCUAUCAUUUACCCAUGGAUCCGAUGGAUAAACGUUAUACGAUCCUAAGCAUGUAUAUAGAUCCAAUCUAACUAAGCCAAGUACAUAACUAUGAUAAACUAAGAACAAUAUAAUCUUGAAUAUAAGCAAGUAGAGCAAAGUCAUAAACAAUAUAUUGAAGUAGAAGAGUCAUAUUCAUAAUAUUGAAGAACAAAGAUAAUUAGAAAGCAAUUAGAAGCACAAUUAGAGAAUUACCAAGAAUCCUCUUGACAGAUCCGGAAACCAAUCGAAGAUUGACUCCUUCUAGUUCUAAUCCUAUGUAGCUAUGCUAAUCUAGAUAUCUAAUUGAUGUGGUGGCUCUAAUCUUGAUCAGAGGCUUCUUCUCCCUUGAUGGAACAAUGAAUUAGGGUUGAGAGGCUCUCCCCUCCAGGGGUCAGGGGGUCUGGUUUUAUAGUCCCUUCAAGUGAAUAUGGGCCCUUGGAUCAAACCGACAUAGAUUGUAUGGUUUAGAUUCAUCCUUUAGGUCGGUGGAAAUCUCCCGCGAAGCAGAGUCCUGAUUGGACUCAGGGGCAGGGUGGGCGCCCUGACCAACUGGGCGGCCGCCCAGGGUCAGGCCCCGUUUCGCCUCCGCUUCGGUCUCGUGGCUUCUGUAGUCUUCUAGAUGUAAGAUAAUUGCGCAGCACGUUAAUAUCUUUACGUAAUCCCGACAUGUGGGCCUUUCUUCCAUAUUUCCUGAUAACCCCCUGCAGAAAUAGACAAACACCAAAACUCGUGGAAUUCUGUCAGAUAAAACCCUAAGUCUAGAUGUUGAUUUCAUUUAGAUCUUUUUCUUUAUUUAUUUGAUAAUUAAAUUUGAUACUUAAGGACCGUCAGCAAACUCCCCAAGCUUACCUCUUGCUCAUCCCUGAGCAAGGAUAGACUCAGCUAUGGUUCAUAAGUUGUUGCAAUAUCUUUAAAAUUUGAUGGUACACAUGCUUUUAAAAUAAUAUCUCAUCUCUGAGUAAGAGUAAACUGUCAAGACUUAAAACUUACUUACUUUACCUUCACCAUGGGACUUGUAACUGUCACUUCUGUCUUGAGUGGUUAAAAGAUAGAACAGUCUAAUCAAGUGCCAUGUCUCUUAUUCUUGAUCAGCUAUAGCUCUGGAGUUUUUGCAGAUUUUCAAAUAAAACUCAGAGAUUCCUUGUAUGAUUCUCUCAGGUCUCUUCUUUUGUGGUAUUUUUGGAUCCUUACCAAGGCAGUGAUGGUAUAUGCCUUCUCUCAAGAUAUGUAGUAUUUGUGGUAUGAGGCAUAGUGACAUUGCCUUCUCUCUCACCCUACUCUAAUAAGGCUUUAAUAUCUGGAGCUCAUAGGUGGGAGAUAAAAUAUACAUACUUACAAGACAUUUAUUGCAUAGUCAAACCAUGGAUCCAAAGAAACAAAUCAAUAAGCCAAAUCAAGAUGUGCAUGUGUGGCGAAUGAAUAGUGUAUGGUGAUGAUGGUGAUAACAAUGGUGAAAACAAUGGUGGUGGAAGUCUAAUUCUACUUUGCUCUUUGAGGGGAUACAUACCUUCCUUGCUUUUGAAACUUUAUGAGGAGAAUGAGAUGCUCUUCUUUUUCUUGUCUCUCAGGUGGGUAUCUUGUACCCCUAAUUCUACUGUCGGAUACUUGUCCAUCUUUACCUCUCGUCUCACUUUUUCUUUUCUUUCGAGGUUCCGAGCACUUGCUCCUUUUUAUUUCCUCGUAUCUCUCUUUUUUUUAGAGCAUUCAUCUCUUGAGAUAAUAUAGCAAGUGGUAGUAACAAGAUAACUUGAGCAUUUCUUUCACAAGGGGAAACAGAAAUAUUUUUGGUUAUUCUCUCCCGGAUUAGGAGUAGAAUAUUUUUGGGUGAUUCUGGAGAUGGAAUGGGUGGAUAUAUAUGGAUGGUACUUCCGGAGUAGAAGUAGCAUAUAUGAGUGAACGUGCAAGUGAAAUCUUGAUUUAACCACAAGACAAGCUCCUAAGGGUCUACACAGCCUGACCACACUCAAUGCUCAUAAGCAGUAAGUAACAAAUGUGUGGCUCAAAGUCUAGCAAGCAUGUAUAUAUGGCUGUGGUAGGAAUUUAAACUCUCAUCAUACAGGAACUCAUCAUGCAACAUUUUAAAGAUUUUUAAAGAUAAAAUUCUCCAGAAUUCUAGCAUCUCUAGGAACAGAUAAACAGUAGCUCAACCUUCCCAUAUCAUAUCCGUUAACAACUUAGACUUCAGAUCAAAUUUUCAUCCCACAAGUUUAGGUCUAGAGUAAGCUUUAAAUUAUAACAGUUAUAUCUAAACUUGAGAGAGAACUUAAAAUUUGCAAAUUAGGCAGAGCAACUAUUUAUCAUAUCCAUGCUUAAGUUUUAUUUAGAUAUAGAUUAGCAUAGCCACUUUAUUUAUUUAUUAAACUCACUAAGCAAAAGACAUAUAUAUAUAAGCAUAAAAUCUUUAUUUGGUUUUCCAUAGUUUAUGUGUAUUUAUAUUUUAAAAUAAUAUAAGUAUAAAGAUAGAUAGAAAUACUUAUCGAGAUAAAUGGGGGUGCUCUCCCCCAAGCUGAAUUUUGACGUAAUUUCUCUUGAUGUAGCUAGCAGGUGGCAGAGGUGUAUUUGAAAGUCAGCAGCAUUCUGACAGUGAUUACAAUGUCCUCCGUCUGCUAGUCUUCUUGAUUCUUAAAUUCUGUGGAGCUCAAAAUAGACAACAAAGCUUGUGGAACUGAUUAAGUGUUAGCAUAAAUAUCUAGCCUUUAUCAUGUUGAGACUCCUUAAUAAUUAUUACUCCCUGUUUUUAUAUUUUCAUUUUAUAAAUUAGAAAAAUAUUUAUUUUAUUUUUAUGCCACCACAGUGAAUGUACUUAUGGGUUUUAUGCCACUCGUCUACUCACAUGGGGCUUACUGUUUUUCAUAUUUUUAUUUUCUUUUUUUAAGAUAGUAUAAAACAUGAUUAACUAAGUAAACUAUUUGAAAUAAUUGAAAGGGAAAGGAUAACUACCAAGUUUACCUCUUGGCAAGGCGUUCGGUGUUCUUAAGUCCUCCGAACGGGACUCUCCAAUUUCUUAAUCGUCCUGAGGUUCGUUGGGUGGCGUAGUCGGUACUUCCGGCAGCGCCUCCUCUUCAUGUAUACUUAUCUUCAUUUUCCACACCUGUAUUGGUGCUUCGAUCUCCUCUGGAUAAUUCUGUUUAAACUCAACGUCUUCUGACCUUACAACUUCUCCUUCAUAGUCUGCCCAUCCGUCCUUGAUGAUCUGCCUCCUCUGGUUACGGUUGCGUCGUUUUCUUACCUGCUUAGAUUCUUUAAUGAUAUAGUUAGGGUCAGUAAAGUAACGGCGUACCUUCUCUGAGGGGAAGUGCAUAUGGACUUCUCCGGUUCCAAUGUAGAUAAUUGCUUUAACGGUGCUGAGGAACGGUCUUCCAAGGAUGAUGGGUGGAUCAUACUCGUCUUCUCCCAUGUCAACAACUUGAAAGUCUGUGUAGACAAAGUGAUCGUCUAUUUUGACUGGGACAUCAGUUAUUAUUCCUUUAACUUCUGGGAAUGUCUGAUCUGCCAUCUGGAGCUGAAUGUAUGUUGGUCUUAGUGGCAUGGUCCCGAACAAGAGCCGAUAGGUGACUGCGGCCAUUAUGUUGACGCCCGAUCCGGUGUCGCAAAUCGUCUUGUAGAAGUUGUAUCCAUUUAUGGAGCAGUAGAUGCUUGGCAUUCCAGGGUCGUCCUUCUUGGUAAAAAAUGGUGACUUAAGUUGAUGAUCUUGGCCUUCAUGAACUACAGUGACCAUCUUAGCUGACUCGGUCCACACUUGCUUGUUCCUGUUUCUCCUGUUGGUCCUCUUCCUUGAUUUACGUCUGGAUUGAUCUGGAAUUUGUGUAGUCUUGUUCUUGAAGAAAAAUGUCUCCUUCUUCCCUUUGACGUAGAAACUGAUCUUGCCAGCACUGGCGUAGAUGAUAGCUCCCCUGGUGUUUAAGAAUGGCCUCCCUAGGAUGAUAGGUGCUCUCUCCUCAUUUUUUCGGUCUCUACCACUACGAAGUCUGCUGGGGCAUAUAAGGUACCAACUCAGACACAAAGGUUCUUCACUAUUCCUUUUGGGAAAGUUAUGGUCUGAUCUGCAAACUGCAAACACAUGGUUGUCUCUAAUAAAGGAUAUGUAAAGAAUUUUUCAUAGAGUACCCUCGGUAUAAUGUUGACACUAGAGCCAAAGUCGUAGAGUGCUUCUGCAACGUCCACCAUGCCGAUGGAGAUCGGGAUGACGGGGCAUCCUGGAUCGCCUCUCUUGACUGGCAACCGGUCAGUAGAAAAUUCAGUGACGGGGUUACUCCAAUUACCUGCAUCAAACACGUCUACAAGAUUUGCAGAUUCUAAUCCUUCCGGUUGUGAUGGUAUACCGGGGUUAGUAGUAGGAACAGCAGCAGCUAUUUGAUUUAACUGAGAUUCAAUCAUUUUAUUAAAGCUAAUUUGAUUCUUGAUGGCAGUAGAAAAAUUAUCCAUUCUAUUAUUUAUAUUUUCUAGCAUUUUAUCAUUAGAUGCCAAUUUCUUGGAUAGGUUAUCCAUUAGCUUUCCUUGAUUAGACACUAACUCCCUCAAAGGUGAAAAAUUACUAUUAUUGUUGUUGUAAGAAUUGUUACCUUGAUAAAUACCUGAGUAGUUAGGCCUCUGUUGAUUCCAACCUUGAUUUUGUUGAGGACGGUUGUAGUAGUUGUUGUUGUUGUUGUUGAUGUAGUUCACAUCCUCAAGCAUCUCAGGGCAGUGGUUGCCUGAGUGUCCAGUGUCUCCACACUCCUCACAAGUCAUGUGAGAGUCGUAGAUGUGCAUAACUUCUUUCUUGUCUCCAGCUCUAUCAUCAAGCUUCUUCAUGAGCAGGUCUAGCUUUGCAGACAGCAUGUCUACCUCCUUCAGCUGAUGCAUACCUCCACCUCUCUUGCGUGUCUGGGUCCUCUCUUCAUUCUAGCUUUGAUUGGACGCCAUCUUCUCCGCAAGAGCUGUGGCUUGUGGUAUAGUAAGUGAUAAGAAUGUUCCUCCAGCUGCAGCAUCCAUGGUCUCUCGGGCACUGUUGCCGAGCCCAUGAUAAAACGUCUGCAUCAAUAGCCAACUCUCCAUUCCAUGAUGGGGACAUUCUAGGAUGUAGUCUUGAAAGCGCUCCCAUGCUUCUAGAACAGAUUCAUCAUUUUGUUGCUGAAAACUUGUAAUCUUCCCACGGAGAGCAUUGGUCUUGCCCAUGGGAAAGAACAUUGCCAGGAAGUUUGUUGAGCAGAGUGCCCACGUAGUAUUCUUCUCCUUUGUAGCGUAGAACCACUGCUUCGCUCUUCCUAACAGUGAGAAUGGGAAGAGGCGAAGUAGUAUAGCGUCUUUGGAAACUCCUGCUAUGGUGAAUGUGUUGCAAAUCUCCAUGUAGUGUUGUAAAUGAGCACUAGCAUCUUCGUGUGCCUUCUCACAGAACUGGUUGGAUUGCACCAUGUUGAUAAGUCCAGGCUUGAGCUCAAAGUUGCCAUCGAUCUCUGCAGCAGGUCCAGUGCGGAUGUUGUCCGUAGUGGGAGCUGAGAACUCACGGAUUGAUUUGUUCGCCAUGGCUUCGAAAUCUGAAGACAAGUUCCGGUGAUCUUCUUCAUUGGAUGAAGCUCCUUCGUGAAGUGUUGAUGAUCUCUUCUUGAGCUUGGCCCUCGUCUUCUUGAAUAGUGCUUCGGGAUUGUCAACAAAAUUUCCUGGAAGAUGUCUUCUAUUCAUACAUUCCCCUGCAUAAGAUAAAAUAGAAAAAUAUCAGGGUAAAACUGUAUGAGAGAAUAGAUAAGCUCAAUCAUAUUAGUGAUGCGAAUGAUAACUCAAAAUCUUUUAUUCCAUUCCUGAUUGGUAAUCAACCUUCCCCGGCAACGGCGCCAAAAAUGCUUGUUGGGUAUUCUUAACAUCAUUACCAAAAGUAGACUAAGUUCUCUAAAUCUAGUAACGGUGCCAAAAAUGCCAAACCUAUCCCUUACACCACUUAAGCCAAGUUGUCAUCCCCAGCAUGAUAUAAGAGACGCGGUAUUGAAAUAUGCAAUUGCUCUUCUAAAUAAAUAAUGAAUGGGAUCUGCAAGCGCACAGAUUAAUACCGAUGUAGCAUUUUAACCGGGAAGUAUUCCAGGUAUCGUUAUUUAUAUUUUUACCACUAGGAAGGGAUUAGCGAUCAUCACUAUUGAUUACAGAAUAGAAUAUGAGAUUGAGCAUAUAUCAUUGCAUGUAUAAUUGAGAACAUUAUAUCUAACUCUUCAUACAGGGAUAAAUGUCACAUAAAAGAUAUAUGAAAUAAUAAUAGUGACAAGGAUAACUAAUCUGAUCUAGCCACAUAAUAAAUAUGAUAAGCACCUCAAUUAGAUACUCUAGAAAGUCAUU